rnacentral:rRNA from 1 species
UACGGGGGGUGCGAGCGUUGUCCGGAAUCACUGGGCGUAAAGCGUGCGCAGGCGGUGAUGUAAGACAGUUGUGAAAUCCCCGGGCUCAACCUGGGAACUGCAUCUGUGACUGCAUUGCUGGAGUGCGGCAGAGGGGGAUGGAAUUCCGCGUGUAGCAGUGAAAUGCGUAGAUAUGCGGAGGAACACCGAUGGCGAAGGCAAUCCCCUGGGCCUGCACUGACGCUCAUGCACGAAAGCGUGGGGAGCAAACAGG